rnacentral:rRNA from 1 species
GUCUUGCUGUCACUUAUAGAUGGAUCCGCGCUGCAUUAGCUAGUUGGUAAGGUAACGGCUUACCAAGGCAACGAUGCAUAGCCGACCUGAGAGGGUGAUCGGCCACACUGGAACUGAGACACGGUCCAGACUCCUACGGGAGGCAGCAGUAGGGAAUCUUCCGCAAUGGGCGAAAGCCUGACGGAGCAACGCCGCGUGAGUGAUGAAGGUCUUCGGAUCGUAAAACUCUGUUAUUAGGGAAGAACAUAUGUGUAAGUAACUGUGCACAUCUUGACGGUACCUAAUCAGAAAGCCACGGCUAACUACGUGCCAGCAGCCGCGGUAAUACGUAGGUGGCAAGCGUUAUCCGGAAUUAUUGGGCGUAAAGCGCGCGUAGGCGGUUUUUUAAGUCUGAUGUGAAAGCCCACGGCUCAACCGUGGAGGGUCAUUGGAAACUGGAAAACUUGAGUGCAGAAGAGGAAAGUGGAAUUCCAUGUGUAGCGGUGAAAUGCGCAGAGAUAUGGAGGAACACCAG